rnacentral:rRNA from 1 species
CAGUAGCCGCGGUAAUACGUAGGUCCUGAGCGUUGUCCGGAUUUAUUGGGUGUAAAGGGAGCGUAGACGGAAUGGCAGGUCUGAAGUGAAAUGCCCCGGCUCAACCCGGGAACUGCUUUGGAAACUGUCGAUCUGGAGUGUUGGAGAGGUAAGUGGAAUUCCUGGUGUAGCGGUGAAAUGCGUAGAGAUCAGGAAGAACACCGGAGGCGAAGGCGGCUCUCUGGUCUGUCACUGACGCUGAGGCUCGAAAGCGUGGGUAGCGAACAGGAUUAGAUACCCGAGUAGUCCCUGUCUCUUAUAC